GACGAACGCUGGCGGCGUGCUUAACACAUGCAAGUCGAACGCUGAAGCUCAGCUUUUGUUGGGUGGAUGAGUGGCGAACGGGUGAGUAACACGUGAGUAACCUGCCUCCUUCUUUGGGAUAACGCCCGGAAACGGGUGCUAAUACUGGAUAUUCACUGGUCUUCGCAUGGGGGUUGGUGGAAAGGGUUUUUCUGGUGGGGGAUGGGCUCGCGGCCUAUCAGCUUGUUGGUGGGGUGAUGGCCUACCAAGGCUUUGACGGGUAGCCGGCCUGAGAGGGUGACCGGUCACAUUGGGACUGAGAUACGGCCCAGACUCCUACGGGAGGCAGCAGUGGGGAAUAUUGCACAAGGGGCGCAAGCCUGAUGCAGCGACGCCGCGUGAGGGAUGGAGGCCUUCGGGUUGUGAACCUCUUUCGCUCAUGGUCAAGCCGCAACAAUGGUUGUGGUGAGGGGAGUGGGUAAAGAAGCGCCGGCGAACUACGU
rnacentral:rRNA from 1 species